rnacentral:pre_miRNA from 1 species
GCUAAUUGGCUGUGAGGACCUGCUGUGUCUAUAACGGAAGAAUUGCUGUGCUGGAGACACAGUAGGGCUUUGGUGCUCACUGAGU